rnacentral:misc_RNA from 1 species
GCUAAUGUGUACCAAAAAAUUGGAAAAAUUCAGAAAAUUAGUGCACUGUACACAAAAGAGAGUUUCUCAAGAACCUAUCAACUACCUUGAAGAAUAUUGACUCUCACUGCUUGACAAAUGUACUUGCCCCAAGGUCCCAAUGGUACACAAGUUACUGCUGCCUCUCCAACUAUGUUUCUCAGGGAUAUCCCUGCACUCCUCUUUGUCAAGCCAAUGAGAUUUUACAUCAUCUUCUUGAACAUAACUUGAUUUUGAAUGCUUUCUUGAGCUUGUUCUCUCCUUUUCAAUUGCAUAAGCAGGGAAGAGGUCAGCAGCAAUGGAUAAUGGAUUCUUCAAAGUUACAUAAGCUUUCUUGUAAUUAGGUCUAGCAACGAUGCGACCCCCUCUCCUCUUCUUUUUGCCCUGCAUAUUUAGUGUCCUUACUUUUUCAACUUCAAAACCAUAACUUGAUAGGACCCUCUUAAUCUCAACCUUUGACAUAGAAGGAAUCGUUUUGAAUGCAAUUUCUUUGAUGUUAUCUGAAGAAGUAGGCAUGAGAAGCUUCAUAGGCAGAUCAACAAGCUCACUUCCCAUCUUGUUUUCUUUGCUGCUCUAAUAUCAGUGGUAGCUCUCUGAAAGCGACGCCGUGUACAAAGCAAAUGCUCUCAGAGCGACAAAGCCAAAAGCUGAAAGGGUUUAGAGGGUUUUGUUAAACCUGUGAUAUAGGAUCCGG